rnacentral:rRNA from 1 species
AGUGAACGCUGGCGGUAGGCCUAACACAUGCAAGUCGAACGGCAGCACAGUAAGAGCUUGCUCUUACGGGUGGCGAGUGGCGGACGGGUGAGGAAUACAUCGGAAUCUACUUUUUCGUGGGGGAUAACGUAGGGAAACUUACGCUAAUACCGCAUACGACCUACGGGUUAAAGCAGGGGAUCUUCGGACCUUGCGCGAUUGAAUGAGCCGAUGUCGGAUUAGCUAGUUGGCGGGGUAAAGGCCCACCAAGGCGACGAUCCGUAGCUGGUCUGAGAGGAUGAUCAGCCACACUGGAACUGAGACACGGUCCAGACUCCUACGGGAGGCAGCAGUGGGGAAUAUUGGACAAUGGGCGCAAGCCUGAUCCAGCCAUACCGCGUGGGUGAAGAAGGCCUUCGGGUUGUAAAGCCCUUUUGUUGGGAAAGAAAAGCAGCAGGUUAAUACACAGCUGUUCUGACGGUACCCAAAGAAUAAGCACCGGCUAACUUCGUG